rnacentral:rRNA from 1 species
GACGAACGCUGGCGGCGUGCCUAAUACAUGCAAGUUGAGCGCUGAAGGUUGGUACUUGUACCAACUGGAUGAGCAGCGAACGGGUGAGUAACGCGUGGGGAAUCUGCCUUUGAGCGGGGGACAACAUUUGGAAACGAAUGCUAAUACCGCAUAAAAACUUUAAACACAAGUUUUAAGUUUGAAAGAUGCAAUUGCAUCACUCAAAGAUGAUCCCGCGUUGUAUUAGCUAGUUGGUGAGGUAAAGGCUCACCAAGGCGAUGAUACAUAGCCGACCUGAGAGGGUGAUCGGCCACAUUGGGACUGAGACACGGCCCAAACUCCUACGGGAGGCAGCAGUAGGGAAUCUUCGGCAAUGGACGAAAGUCUGACCGAGCAACGCCGCGUGAGUGAAGAAGGUUUUCGGAUCGUAAAACUCUGUUGGUAGAGAAGAACGUUGGUGAGAGUGGAAAGCUCAUCAAGUGACGGUAACUACCCAGAAAGGGACGGCUAACUACGUGCCAGCAGCCGCGGUAAUACGUAGGUCCCGAGCGUUGUCCGGAUUUAUUGGGCGUAAAGCGAGCGCAGGUGGUUUAUUAAGUCUGGUGUAAAAGGCAGUGGCUCAACCAUUGUAUGCAUUGGAAACUGGUAGACUUGAGUGCAGGAGAGGAGAGUGGAAUUCCAUGUGUAGCGGUGAAAUGCGUAGAUAUAUGGAGGAACACCGGUGGCGAAAGCGGCUCUCUGGCCUGUAACUGACACUGAGGCUCGAAAGCGUGGGGAGCAAACAGGAUCAGAUACCCUGGUAGUCCACGCCGUAAACGAUGAGUGCUAGAUGUAGGGAGCUAUAAGUUCUCUGUAUCGCAGCUAACGCAAUAAGCACUCCGCCUGGGGAGUACGACCGCAAGGUUGAAACUCAAAGGAAUUGACGGGGGCCCGCACAAGCGGUGGAGCAUGUGGUUUAAUUCGAAGCAACGCGAAGAACCUUACCAGGUCUUGACAUACUCGUGCUAUUCCUAGAGAUAGGAAGUUCCUUCGGGACACGGGAUACAGGUGGUGCAUGGUUGUCGUCAGCUCGUGUCGUGAGAUGUUGGGUUAAGUCCCGCAACGAGCGCAACCCCUAUUGUUAGUUGCCAUCAUUAAGUUGGGCACUCUAACGAGACUGCCGGUGAUAAACCGGAGGAAGGUGGGGAUGACGUCAAAUCAUCAUGCCCCUUAUGACCUGGGCUACACACGUGCUACAAUGGAUGGUACAACGAGUCGCGAGACAGUGAUGUUUAGCUAAUCUCUUAAAACCAUUCUCAGUUCGGAUUGUAGGCUGCAACCCGCCUACAUGAAGUCGGAAUCGCUAGUAAUCGCGGAUCAGCACGCCGCGGUGAAUACGUUCCCGGGCCU